GUCCUAGCCCUAAGCUCUAGAAUGUGGCUCUGUGGGACGGUGGGUUCUAGAUCACCAUCUGUGUGAUGGAGACAAUGGCCUCUGCCCAGAGAACCCCCACCCUCACCAGGCGUGGUUCAGGUUGGGACUUUGCUCCACUCUUCCUUUGUGACGGGAGGGGCAGAGGUUUGGAGGACAGGAAAAGGGACAGCAAGGUUCUGUACUGGACAUGAAGGUCAUGGGGCCCAGAACUGGAGUGGUGGGGGAGUGAAAGCUGUGAGGGUCAAAGAAGAGCCUAGUCAGCCAGGCCCCCAGUGAGGACCACUGAUGGGGAGGGGGGACUGAGCACAGGAAGCCUCCAGCAGUCGGGAUCCUGGGAUCCAAGAACAAGAGAGAAGAAGCCAGGCUGGGGGUGACAGGCCUCGGAUGUUCCCGCUGGAGUUUGUGCUGGGUCUUCAAGGUGCCCUUCCCCUUUCAGGUCGCCUGGGUGGGGAGGACCAUGCUUCAGAGCAAAGAGUGGAGGACGUUUUCCUCCAGAAGUUCAUGCUGGGCACCUUCCCAGGGUGCCUGGCCAACCAGCUGGUCCUAAAGCGCCGGGCUAACCAGCUGGAGAUCUGUGCCCUGGUCCUGGGCAGCUGCCUGCACACAAGUUCUACUUCCUGGUGGGCUGCAGUGAGACUCUGCUGUCCCACUUUUACAAAUGCCCCGCCCGUCUGCACCUCCAGACUGUGCCUUCCAAGGCUGUGUGUAAGUACAUCUAAGACAGUCACCUUGUCUGCAUCAGGCUCUAGGCUGCGAAGGACAGAGGCGUGUGGGAGAGGAGUGAAGCAGAGACGGGGAAAUGCAUCUCCUCACUGUCUCGAGGAUUCCUUUCCAAAGCUGCUAUCGAAUAAACAGACCUUCCGUGUUGUCUUUCCCGUUGGCUCGUCUUUCCUCCUCAGAGAAGAGCGCUAGAGCUGGGCUCCUUCAAGGGUCUCCAGGGCUCCGCAAAAGGCUGCCGGUUGUUUGAGGCUUGGGUAAUAGCUACAGUGUGGAGUCUCUUGUUACUUUACCAGGAACUUUACCUGGAGCUCUUUGUUUUCUCUCAAAGUGGAAAAAUCCAUUUUUGGUAAUUAUAAAAUAACCAACGUCAAUUUUUUAAAAUUUGAAAAAUUGUAGCCUCCAUUCAUGCUAUAAAAUUCUUAACCAACUAUCAAUAAACCAAUUCUUCCUUACCUUGUAAGGGCCUAUUCCGCCAGAGCGGCCCCCAUUUUGUUGU